ensembl:lincRNA
UGCUCAGCUCUGCCAAAUUUUUGAGUUAACUCCAUUUUGUUUAAUCCCUAGUGCAGUUGCAUUGAAAAGGGAAUGCUGUUAACUCAGCACUUAUAGCCUUAUGAUGGUUAAUCUAUAAUUUGGUUAUUCAAUCAGAUGCUAAUCAGUAGAUUGGGUCAACAUUUUAAGAACAGCUUCUGUAUAGUGGAAGAUGCUAACCUUGAUAAGGUCAGUAGCCUUCAUCUAGUGAACUGGAAGCCUUAAGGAGAGAAACAGCAGAAGAUGGGAUUCUGAGUGAGGAUAGUAACAUCAAGUCUUAUCCCUUUCUGUUCUGCCAUUGGGAUCUGUGGACUUCAGGCUUUGCAGCAACACUGGAGCCAAAUGUGUAUUAAUCCAUUCUGGAAGAAUGUCAGGCCUCUGUGUUUCUCAUCUUGACAGGCUGCGACUGUAUCGCUUUGUAAGAGGGUUAAGAUUUAUAGACUGAACCGAAAUAUAAAAAGGCUGGUGAGAAGCAGGAAGGAAGACUGAAGCAACCUCUUUCCUAAGGAAGUGUUGACUUAGCUGAGUGCUGUCCUUUUCUCCGUUCUGUAGGUGGGAGACAAUUUUCUGGCUGUUCAUUCUAUUUAUUCUCAUAUUUGUAGUAGCAAACUAUAGCAGGGAAUCUAGUCAGAAGGGUUGUCAACAUAUGGCAUCAAAGGAAACCUGUCUCCAACAGUUCAAAUGACGGCCAUGUGAGGCGACUGGACAGUGAAGGGGCUGUCAGGGCUCCAUGCUAUUUGGAGGCACUGCAUCUGUAUUAGGGAUUUAUCAGGGUGGAUUCUAAUAUCAGCAGCACUACUGCUCUCAAGUGUCCCCAGCCAUGCUCUGGCCUGGUCUGGCUUUGUAGUCAUUUUACGAUAAUUUUGUCAAUGAUAGUGUUCAUAUAUUAUUCAAAAUGGGUUACCUCCAAUGAUGGGUCCUUUGGAGAUGAAAGAGUUAAAGGAAACAAUUGAAGAUUUUAGUUCAUAUUCUCAAAGGUGUCCCUUAUAGAGGCUGAGACAGAGAUGUUGGCCGUGCUCAUUAUGAUGCUGUCUCAUCUGCAUCUCCACUGCCCUGGCAGGCUGAACUUCACGAGAUGGGAAGUUUCGAGCAGAGGAGCAAUGCAUGGGAAUCACUCCGUCCGUGUUAUCCAAUGGAGGCAGUGUGAAUUCAUCCUAAGGGCAAAUGUCAUGUUCUCUUGCCAAGCAUCAUCUGUACCAAACGGACAGGUGGUGUCGGCUCUGACUACUCUGGUGAGCAGUCACUGGGAUGGGAGACCCUCUGUGUUGAGCAAUAUGCCCAGUGUCUACACAGAGCAGAGCGGGAGAGAAGUACAUAGAAAAAUGGCAAUGGCCCCUGAAUGUUGGUAUUUAGGAUCUCAGGGGAAAAUGCCUGCCAAGAGUUGAGCAGGAGACAAGAUUACCCUUCGAAUGGUUUCAUGGGACCAAGAUUCUUCCUUAUGGAUUGAACUGAUAAAAGAGAAGAUCUAAUAACCAGCUAUUGUUAUUGGAUAAAGAAACUGGCUCAUUUCUUUCUCUUCCAUUAACUAGCUCUGUUUACUGGGAUAAGCUACUUGGCCCAUCUUACUCUCUUGUGCAUAAAUUGGAUGUAUGUUUCCUUGCACAAAUUAUUCAGUAUUUAUAUGUAUAUCUACCAUGUCCUGGGGAUUUCUGAGAAUUGUUCCCCCAUCUCUUCCAUGAAUUUCCCAUUUCUCCUCAGCACCAUAUGCCUAUGUACUCCUACGUCUAUUCUAAUCCAUCACUCCAACUGGAUUCUAACAUUUUGCAUUUGGAAUGAGGCUAAGGAUUUGAGCUCAGAAUAAUCUGUUUUCUUGAACUGAAACAUAAACUUGAAAACUCUUGCCAGUGUGAUUUCCCAUCAUGUGCAAAAGGGUUCUAAGAAACUAUUCUGUACAAAACAGAGGAAUAAAGCAGAUUAAU